rnacentral:rRNA from 1 species
CCUACGGGCUGCAGCAGUGAGGAAUAUUGGUCAAUGGACGAGAGUCUGAACCAGCCAAGUAGCGUGAAGGAUGACUGCCCUAUGGGUUGUAAACUUCUUUUAUAUGGGAAUAAAACGUUCCACGUGUGGGAUUUUGUAUGUACCAUAUGAAUAAGGAUCGGCUAACUCCGUGCCAGCAGCCGCGGUAAUACGGAGGAUCCGAGCGUUAUCCGGAUUUAUUGGGUUUAAAGGGAGCGUAGGUGGAUUGUUAAGUCAGUUGUGAAAGUUUGCGGCUCAACCGUAAAAUUGCAGUUGAAACUGGCAGUCUUGAGUACAGUAGAGGUGGGCGGAAUUCGUGGUGUAGCGGUGAAAUGCUUAGAUAUCACGAAGAACUCCGAUUGCGAAGGCAGUUCACUGGACUGCAACUGACACUGAGGCUCGAAAGUGUGGGUAUCAAACAGGAUUAGAUACCCUAGUAGUC